rnacentral:piRNA from 1 species
GACUGAAGGGACAGAGUCGGUUUCUGAA